AUUGCCCGGGAAUCUUGUUAAAAUGCAGAUUCUGAUUAAGCUGAUCUGGCAUGGGGCCAAGAUUCUGCAUUUCUAACAAGCUCCCAGGUGACGAGAA
rfam:Pan troglodytes isolate Yerkes chimp pedigree #C0471 (Clint) chromosome 2A, whole genome shotgun sequence.